CGAUACCAAACUCUGUCUCCCUCUUCGUCAAACUCUUUGUCUCCCUCUUUUCCCCCUUACUAGUUCUCCUUCAAUGGCUUCUGUCAAAUUCUUUCUUCUGUCUUGCUCCUUUUUCUAUUUUCUUUACCAAGUUCAUGCUCAGACCUCCUUCCUGCCAGAUUCUGUACUUCUUCCUGUUACCAAAGAUAUCUCAACCCUCCAAUACAUUACCCAAAUCGAUUAUGGCACCUCACAAUUACCCACCAAGCUUGUAGUUGAUCUCGGCAGUCCCUUUCUCUUGGUUGAUUGUGUCUCAGGC
rnacentral:misc_RNA from 1 species